UGUUUUAUGGAAGUUAGUGUUAUAAACAGAGGAUGAGCUUUUAAUUGAAGCAUAUUCAAAUUCAGAAUUCAGAAUAUACACUUCUUAUGGCCGGGAAUAGUAAGCGGUUCUAAUUGGUCAAAAAAGGCGGUCCCCGAAAGCAUAUAAAGAAUUGAAAUCAAAUUGCAAUAUCAAAAAGGCUUUUGACGCAGUGGUUUAUUGGUUAUCAAGCAGAUCAAAAGAGCCGGUUUCGAAACCCAUGAGCCACCAAUUCUGUUUUCUCCCCUUUUUUUCUUUGGUCAUCGCUCCACCCAUAGUCACAUGGAUCGCGGUUCGGUCCAGUACGGGGAACGAAAACGUGUCGGCGUAUAGGCUGCAUUAAAAAGGCGGGAAAAAUGUCAGGUUUGCAAUUCGUGCAUCUAUAGCCUGGUACGCGAAUCGAAUCGUUCUGAAACGGCGAUUUUUUCAAUCGGAAACACGUUUUUCAGUGAUUC
rnacentral:lncRNA from 1 species